AUAAAUCCAUAUAGAGAUGAAAAAACAUGUCUAGAAGCCUAAGUAUCGUAACAAAUAUAGCAUGAUUUUGCUCGAAAUCACACUGGAGUAGCCUAGAACAGACAAAUGGCGAACCCUAGAUGCAAGUCGGCGUGCCUUGGGCCUUUGAAGACCUUAGAGAAGGGAGGCAUAGCAUGAGAGAAGCCAUUGGAGGCUUAGGAGUCGAUAAGAGAUCAUCAGAGAAUACCAGAGAAGAGAGAUUGGCGGUUGAAGGGCUAGGGUUUGAACGUGAAGAGAGGAGAUGAGAGAAUAGAGAGGCAGCGAG
rnacentral:lncRNA from 1 species